rnacentral:lncRNA from 1 species
ACGAUAAAAGAUAAAAAAGAUAAAAGAUAAAAGAUAAUUUAUUUUGCAAAUAUGGGUACAUACAUGAUGGAGUUACACAUAAAUAGGGUUCUGCCAUAUUUUACCAAAUUGGCAUGCAAAAACAAAAAAAAAUUAAAUACACUAACUAAAAAACAAAAAUCUAAUCUAAAACACACUUAAAAUUAAAAAUUAUGUAUGCCUACUUGGAAGGGUAAAAUCCAUCUCAUUAAAAAAAUCAUUAAUACUGUAGUAGGCUUUAUAGGCCAAGAAUUUACGUAAUGUCUUCUUAAAAAGCAAUAGGGGCAGUUCUUUCCAGGCCUUGGGACAUUUAUUAUAAAUUAUAGGUGCCAUACAGAAGACACUUUUGCGCAUAAGUGCUGUUCCGGCACUAUGAAGACAUACCCUGCUGUUGUCCCGUCUAUUACGAGGAACUACGUCAUCUAACCGUUUGAAACGAUCCGGAUUAGAUUUGACAAAGACUGCUAUUUCUAAAAUGUAUAUACAUGGCAAAGUUAAUAUAGCAUAUUUUUUGAAGAAGGGUACGCAGCUGUCGGUGGGUUUCAGUUUAAAACUGGAUCGUAUGCAUCUCUUCUGAGCCUUGAACACGGUUUCCCUUUCCGUCGAGUUGCCCCAAAACAUGACGCCGUAUCGUAAAUGGGAUUCUGCUAAGCCAUAAUAUGCUGUCAAUAAUGCCUCCACACCAAUUAUACAUGACAGUGUGUGUAAGGCGUAAGCCGAUUUACUUAAUUUCUUGCACAAAAAAUCAAUAUGGGGUUUCCAGUUCAGUUUUUUAUCUAUACGGAGUCCAAGAAAUUUUGUAGUAUCAACCUCUUCUACAGCUUGAUUAUCAUAAAAUAUAUUUAAGUUACUUUUAUCAUUAAUCCGUUGACUAAAGUGUAUUCUUUUAGUUUUAAGUAAGUUAAUUUUCAAAUUGUUGUUAUCUAGCCAUUUUACUAUUUGAUUUAUAGAUUCAUUAAUAUCAUUUUCAUAUGUCUCCGGUUUAUUACACGGUAUCGUUAAUGUGCUAUCAUCAGCAAAUAAUGUCAAGUGUUGCGGGAUGCAUUUCGGUAGGUCAUUUAUGUACAAAAUGAAUAAAAGAGGACCCAGUACACUACCUUGUGGUACACCAAAUGAGAUUUUACGUUCAGUGGAUUGAUAAACAAUGUCAUGUUUACUUUUCAUAUCGAUUUUAUUUAUUUCUGUUAUUUGGGUUCUGUUUUGUAGAUAAGAUUUAAUAAGAUUGUUAAUAUUCCCCCUAAUGCCAUAUGAUUCAAGUUUAUUUAGAAGUGUACCAUAGUGCACAUAGUCAAAGGCUUGGGUCAUAUCACAAAAUAGGCCGCAGAUCGGUUUUCUCUUAUCAACAUUCUUUGCAACAUUGUACAAAAAAUCAUAAAUGGCCAUGUUAACUGUCUUGCCAAGUCUAAAUCCUUUUUGCUCCUCGCAAAGAAAUUUGUUUUUUUCAAUAAAUGUAUAUAAUUCCUUGUAAAUAUAUUUCUCAAAUACUUUAGCAAUUAUGGGAAUGAGUGAUAUGGGCCUAUAAUGCUCCAUUAUCUCUCUAUCAUCCUUUUUGAAGAGUGGUCUGACAAUUGCUACUUUUAAAGCGUCAGGAAACACACCUUCGCUAAUGCUGAGAUUAAUUAUGUGUGAUAAGUGACCGCAAAUUUCAUCAGACACAUGUUUUAGUAUUUUAGUAGCGAUACCGUCAUAUCCCACACUGUUUGUACUAUUUAGAGACAUAAUGAUUUUUUUAAUAUCGUACGGUAUGCUAGGGGCCAUAAACAUUGAUUUAUUAUUGAAAGCUAAGGUAGCUGUUUUAGGUCUGGAGUUGGCAGGAAGUUUAGGCUGUAUUUUGUCAAUAAAAAAAUUAUUAAAUGCUUCUGCAAUAGCUUCGGGAUUUGAUAUGACAUCAUUAUUUACUUUAAUUUUGUUUAUAUUAGCUCUAGGUACGUUAAACUUCGCACGAUUGAUAAUUUGCCACGCGGUUUUAGAUUUAUUUUUUGAUGUUUUUAUACUAUAAUUGUUUUGUGCUUUUUGUGUCAAAUUAAUUAUUUUUUUAUAUACUUUAGAAUAUAUAGCAAGCCUAGUUUUAUCACUUUUAUUACGGUUAAGCCUAUACUGCCACAAUAGUUUCCUUUUCUUUUUGCUGCAUAUUUUGAUCCCUUUUGACAACCAUUUAGUUUUUCUAAUUGUAUUUAUUUUUAAGUAAGUCAUUGGGAAACACAAUUCGUAGAGUAACUUGAAAGUUUCAAUAAAAUUAUUAUAGGCAACAUUUGGAUCAUCCGUGCUAUAUACUUCUGAAAAAGUGAGACUUUUUAAAUGGUUUUUAAAUUUUAGUAUAUUCUCUACGCUAUAAUCCCUUCUUUUAGUGUACCAAUAUUUGAGACAACAUGUUUUUUGUACUGGACAUUUCAAUAUCUGUGCGGUGUGGUCUGACAAUGCAAGCUCCGCUACCUCAGUCUUACAUGCCUUAACAUUAUGCGCAAAGUUGUCUAUACACGAUAAACUGGCCAUGCGAGUGGGUUGUUUCAAAGCAAGUUGUAAAUUGUAGCUCAUAAGAAGACAUUCAAAAGCAUUCGUAACAUUGUUUGGUUUUAGUACAUCUAUAUUGAAAUCUCCGCAGAUAAUAAUGUUUUUACAAUGUGUAUGAAGUAAUUCCUGCAAGAGCGUUUCAAGUCUAUCAAAGCAAUGGUUUAGGUUGUUUGUGUUCGGAAUUCUAUAUACACAUACAAUUAUUAUUUUAUAGCUGGUGAGUUCCACACCACAGCACUCAAACAUGCCAGGAAUGGAUAACUUUGCUACUUUCGUUCAAACCAAACCAACUUAAUUUCUCUAUCUGUCGCCGAGUGUCGUUGAACCCGUGUCGGUAAAACAGCUUGUGCAGUGUUUCCGAUAUUACUCACAAGAGGCGCUGCAUGAGGCGAUGGCACGGAUUUCAAAUGCUCGAGAGAAAAAAAACGGUCUUAAUUUUUUCUCAUUCACAACAGAAGAAGUUUUAUUCACUGUUUGAUAACAAACACUGUUUUAAUGUACACUUAUGAUGUAAAACUUCUUAAUUGUUUUGAGUUUCUUGAACAAGACACCAAGAAAACUGUUAUUACAAAAAAUACACUAUCACUUUAUUA